rnacentral:rRNA from 1 species
GACGAAUGCUGGCGGCGUGCCUAAUACAUGCAAGUCGAACGAAGCUGUUUUAACUGGUGCUUGCACCGACUUAAACAACUGAGUGGCGAACGGGUGAGUAACACGUGGGUAACCUGCCCCAAAGCGGGGGAUAACAUUUGGAAACAGAUGCUAAUACCGCAUAACCACAGAAACCACAUGGUUUCUGUGUCAAAGAUGGUUUCGGCUAUCACUUUGGGAUGGACUCGCGGCGUAUUAGCUAGUUGGUAAGGUAAUGGCUUACCAAGGCAAUGAUACGUAGCCGAACUGAGAGGUUGAUCGGCCACAUUGGGACUGAGACACGGCCCAAACUCCUACGGGAGGCAGCAGUAGGGAAUCUUCCACAAUGGACGAAAGUCUGAUGGAGCAACGCCGCGUGAGUGAAGAAGGUUUUCGGAUCGUAAAACUCUGUUGUCAGAGAAGAACGUGUGCGAGAGUAACUGCUCGUGCAGUGACGGUAUCUGGCCAGAAAGCCACGGCUAACUACGUGCCAGCAGCCGCCGUAA